ensembl:lncRNA
AGCUCACCUCCAAUUACUAAAGCUGAACAUUCCAGAUGCUCAUGUUCUCAGCUGCCCUUAUAGCCAGGGCCUGGAUGCAUGACCAAAUCCUGGCCCAGGGAACCUGAGAGGGAAAUCAAGGGGAGGAACAGUUCAUCUCUAAUAAGAAUUAAUGCUAGGAAUCUACUUUCACUUCCUGCGGUGAAGCCCGAUACUACUGUAGCCAACCUGCAAUCCUAAAGAGCCGCCAUGGACACGCUGAGGAGAGCUCCCAGAAGGCGGUGAGCAGAGGAGUCCGUGUUAACAUCAUGGAGCAAUAUGGACAGUACAUUUUCUUCCUUAUUUAAACCACUUUUAAUUGGAUAUUCUGUGACUCAAAGUUAAAAUCAUACACCUGACCAUCAAGAACGCACCUGGAACUCCGCUUUCCACCAGGUGAGCACUGUAGAAGUCAGCAGUCUGCAACCUGGAAGAGGGCCCUCACCUGAACUCGACCAUGUUGGCACCGAGGUCUCAGACUUCCGGCCUCCAAAAUGCCCCAUGGACUGUAGCCCGCCAGGCUCCUCUGCCUAUGAAAUUUUCCAGGCAAGAAUACUGGAGUGGGUUACCAUUUCCUUCUCCAGGGGAUCUUCCUGACCCAGGGAUCAAACCCACGUCUCUUGCGUCUCCUGCACUGGAGAAUUCUUUACCACUGAGCCACCUGGGAAGCUUCUACCUGGGAUGGUACUUUACUGUAAAGGGAACAAGAGCAAAAUCCUGUUGUUUCUAUUAAUGGUCCAUGUUGGAAAGAUUCUAUAAUUCUUUUUGGCUGAUGUAAGGAAGUUAGGGUAGGAGUACCCCAACAAUAGCAGGAAAUUACUUCCCCAGAAAGGGUGUAGUCUCCAGCUAGCCACAUCUUCCUUCAUCGCUGGACAAAAGAUAAAGGAGGAAUAUUCUACUUUAUGUUUUAUUCAUUCACAAUUAUUUUUUGACAAUCAAAUCCAAGCUAUCAUUCUAAGUUGUUGGGUUUUUUUCAAUCUGGUGUUUAUUUUUAAAAAGAUCUUCAACUGUCCUUGGUGUCUCCCUUUCUGUUCUUGUUCAUAUAUUUAACAAGUGAUUACAAAAGACCAUGAUAAUGAGAAUAACUUAAGCAUUGUUCGGGAAAUGGUAUUAUAAGUUAAGAU